rnacentral:siRNA from 1 species
AUUGUGCCAUGUGUCGAGUCUAUC